rnacentral:rRNA from 1 species
AGUGAACGCUGGCGGUAGGCCUAACACAUGCAAGUCGAACGGCAGCACAGUAAGAGCUUGCUCUUACGGGUGGCGAGUGGCGGACGGGUGAGGAAUACAUCGGAAUCUACUUUUUCGUGGGGGAUAACGUAGGGAAACUUACGCUAAUACCGCAUAUGACCUACGGGUGAAAGCAGGGGAUCUUCGGACCUUGCGCGAUUGAAUGAGCCGAUGUCGGAUUAGCUAGUUGGCGGGGUAAAGGCCCACCAAGGCGACGAUCCGUAGCUGGUCUGAGAGGAUGAUCAGCCACAAUAGAACUGAGACACGGUCCAGACUCCUACGGGAAGGAGCAGUGGGGAAUUUUGGAAAAUGGGGGCAAGCCUGGUCCAGCCGUACCGCGUGGGUGAAGAAGGCCUUCGGGUUGUAAAGCCCUUUUGUUGGGAAAGAAAAGCAGCAGGUUAAUACCCCGCUGUUCUGACGGUACCCAAAGAAUAAGCACCGGCUAACUUCGUG